CAAUAGCGUAUAUUAAAGCUGUUGCGGUUAAAAAGCUCGUAGUUGGAUUUCUGUCGAGGACAACUGGUCCGCCCUCCGGGUGAGCACAUAGUUUGGUCUUGACAUCUUGCUGGAAGCUGUUGCUGCACUUGGCUGUGUGGCGCAGUGUUCAGCACUUUCACUUUGAGGAAAUUGGAGUGUUUCAAGCAGGCACAUGCCUUUGGACACAGUAGCAUGGAAUAAUUAGAUUGGGCUUUUGCUCCAAUUUGUCGGUUUCUGGAGCUGAGGUGAGUAUUAAUGGGGAUUGUUGGGGGCAUCCGAAUUUAGCCGUCAGAGGUGAAAUUCUUGGAUCUGCUAAAGACGGACAACUGCGAAAGCGUUUGCCCAGGAUGUUUNCAUUG
rnacentral:rRNA from 1 species